rnacentral:tRNA from 1 species
CAGGCUAUCUUCAUUAGGAAGUUCAUUGGUUACGUCAAUGGUGUAAUUGUGCGAUUCAAUUGUGCCUGA